GCUGCACCUGUGGCAUAUGGAAGUACCCAGGCUAGGGGUUGAAUCGGAGCUGCAGCUGCCAGCCUGCCAUGAGGGAUCUGAACCUCGUCUGUGACCUACAUCACAGCUCAUGGUAAUGGCCGGAUACUUAAUCCACUGAGGGAGGCCAGGGAUCGAACCCACUUCUUCAUGGCUACUAGUUGGGUUCGUUACUGAGCCACAAUGGGAACUCCUGGAAUUGGGUUUUGGGGGACAAGGGGACCAGGGAGGAGAGCCAUUGGAAAGGACAGAGGCACAAUUGUUCAGGGGAAAAGAUGGGCGGGGGCGCGGAGAAUGUUUUGUGAAAGUGGCCACCCUCAUGGAAGCCUUAAAGGUGGGUGGGGUGGGGCAAGAGGAGACUGGUCUGUCCUGCUCAGGCCUGGGGACCCUGGAACCCUGGUGAGGGCUUUGGAGCUGGCCAGGUGCCCAGGGGCCACCUCCCACCUCCAUUACCCUCAGAACGGAGAAGCCAAGAAAGGGAACCCAGCAAGGUACUCCCGUUUCAGUCUCUGGCAGGACGGUCCUGCGUAGAAUGUUCCUAUGGGGUAAAGGCGUUAUUACUUCUCUCCUCCUGGCCCAGGGCUUGAUGGCUGAGCAAACGCCUAUGCUUUAUAAGACUGAUGUGCUACCCUUUUUUUUUUUCCCCACUUUUGGCCGCCCCUGUGGCAUAUAGAGCUCCUGGGCCAGGGAUCAGACCUCAACCACAUUCAAGACCUAAGACUUAGCUGUGGCAAUGCUAGAUCCUUAACCCACUGUGCCGGGCUGGGGAUAGAACCCACGUCCCAGUGCUGCCAAGAUGCUGCCAAUCCCAUUGCACCACAGUGGGAGCUCCAUACCUGCUGCUUUAUGUAGUUGAUGUGGGGGGAGAAUGGAGCGGGUGGUCAAGCCCUUUGCUCCUUGAAAGGUCGAGCUUCUGGACUGGGACCAGGUCCAGCUAAUCCUGGGAUGGGCGCCUCCUCCUCCCUGCUCAGUCCUCCAGGCUGAAAACAACAGCCACCCCCAGGCACUGGACUGGGUGCUUGUUACAGCAACCCUGUGAGAUGGGAUCAUGAUAAACAUAUCACAGGGGAGGAAACUGAGGCUUCAGAGGUUAGGUGAAGAGUCCAGACUUAGCUAGAAAGGGGAGCAGUUGGACUUUAAAUGGUAAGAUACUGUUAAGGGAAAAAAGGUAGAACAUUUUUGGGUUUACGGUCUUUGGAGUUUAAAAAAAAAAAAAAGAAAAAAUUUCAAAUCCAAUUUUGGACUUGCCAAGCACUUUGCAUGUAUUAUUUCUGUUUGUCUUUUCAAACAAUGCUAUAAAGUAUUCUGAUUCCUAUUUUAUGAAGGGGGAAAAAAGGGGGCUCAGGAAGGGGAAGGUUUACGUGGAAAUCUACCCAGGUAGCACAUCAUGGAGCUGGGCUCAGAAUCCAGUCUGGCUAUUCCCAGGGAGGAUUUUUGGAAUCUUGCUUCCUAGAAUCGACUCUCCCCUGGGCCAGGGAUUCUGUCUUUAGCUGCCUCAUAUUUUCAUUAAACCCGCCUCGGGUGCCCAGGCCCAACUCAGAAAGAUUUUGUGGGAAAGGCUGCCACCUUGUGGCCAAAGAGCAAGCCCACCAUUUAGCAGCUGGCUAUGACCUGGAAAGGCAGGGCUUUGGGAACAGGUGAAGUUGGUCUCCGAAGAGAGACUUCCGCUGGUGCAGACUUGCUUCUGGAAGGCUUCUCCACAGUCAGAGGGCCAGCUCCGGCAUCGCAGGGGUGGGGACUUCAGGUUCCCCAGCUGCCUAAGGGUGGAAAGUGGGCCUUGGCUGUGUGCACAGUGGACCGCAACUUUUCUGCAAAGUCCCGUUCGGGGAAUUCUGGAAGGUGAGCUGAGCUAAGACGUCUCCUUCAGCCCUUCUCCUGAGGUUUUGGUCCUUUUACCAGUGUGGGGGUGGGGAGAGGGGCUGUUCGCGUAAACCGACACUUCCUCUGCAGAGACGAACCCCCACUCCCGGAGGUUCUGGGGCUGUAUCCUCCCUGUGUUCUACCCUGUGUGGACACUGUCCUCAACCCUGCGGGAGUUACAGAACCUCGUCCUCACUCCUAAACCUGCUCCUGCGGGAGCUCUCCCUCUGUCCUCUUCCAGGCUGCUCCAUGUGGCUGUCACCAUCUCCCAGGCUCUGUUCUUCUGCUCCUCUGCUCUCUCCACUUUGUUCAUCAAAGGAGUGCCUAGUCAUAUUUCUCCCCAGGUACACCCGCGGGGUGCAGGAGGACGCCCACCUUCUUAGCCUCGUUUUCCUUCCAUACUGACAUCGAAAUCUCAGGCCAUGUGCCUCUUGUUAGGCUCCAAUCAGUGCUUCUCAGCUCGGGCUGCACAUUCAAAUCACCUGGGGGUGGGGCUUUGCAACCUCCCUCUGCCAGGCCACGCCCCCUCGAGAUCCUGAUGUAAUUGGCCUGGGCCCUGGAGGUCCUGCGUGCGUCCAGAAAACUCCGCAGGUGCGCAGCCUUGCUCCAGCUUUUCUGAGCACCUCCCCCUGCCCCAUCUUGCUUGCGGAUUUCUGCUCACCUCCUUCCAGGCAGCCCUCUCGCCUUCUCUCCCCUUGUUCUCGUCCCUGUGAGAAGACGCUCUCAGACUGGUGGACAGAACUGGUGGUCCUCUGCCCCGCCUUGACAGUUUUGUGCAUCACUUCUGCGCGGGUGCGGAGCCCGCCGUGCUCUCCUACGGAUCACCUGAUGGUUCUCUUGUUUUCGACUGAGGUUUUGGACCAUGCUUUAUUUCUCCGUGUGUUCCCAGCUUCGGAAGUUGUCCGGGACAACGCUGUGUUUGGUCACUGGGACUGCUGAUGGAGGACUCAACGGCUUUCUUAGAUAGCCAGGCUUCACGUUGCUGAGAUUUCUGACCUUCAGAAGGAUGUCACCCUUUCCGAAGAUCCCUUGAGGCCGAGAGCAGCGCUCUCCCACCAAGGUACCUGUUCCUGGGCCGGGAGAGGGGAGGGGCCGCGCGGAUGGGUUAAGGAACUGGCAUCGCCAUAGCUGUGGUGUAGGUUGCAACUCCAGCUUGGAUUCGACCCCUGGCCUGGGAACUUGCAUAUGCCGCGGGGUGGCCAAAAAAGGAAAAAACCCAAAAAACAGACCCACAUUGGGUGGGGAUUUGUCAUGCGUUGGUGAUAACAUGUAAUAUCUUUUAUUGUCCUAUAGCAGCCCUCUUGUUAGCAGUUUUUUACGGGUGAGGAAACUGAGGCUCAUAGGUGAUGGGGUAUGUGGCUGGGACUCCACAGUAUCCUGGCUUCUCUUCCUAGACUUACAGCAGGCUACAUAUUCGAGUCUCUCUUGCAGGAGGUGGGUUCAUGGACCCCUCCCUCCUCCCCAGGGAAUGUGGGUGGACGUGAUUGUAUUAACUGCGGCGUGGCCCUUUAAAAAUAAAAUAGUUACACGUGUGAUCUUGGCGCUCCUUAUCCAUCAACCAGUUGAAGGGAGAGGGCUUCCAAGAUGCUGAGGACCUAGAAGAAGGCAGAGUCACAAGAUGCGAGGAGCCUGGGGCCCUGUGCUGGAGCAGAGCUGUUCCCUUGCUGACUGCUGUGUGAGUGACGAGUCAGCUCGUUCCGUGUUAACUUAGGUUGGGUUUCUCUCUUAAACCGGCGAAUGCCAUUUACCCUAAUUAUACAUGGAAACUUCGCAAGUCCUGUUUGGUGAGCAGCUGAGUUAGGAUUGUUCUUGUCAAGCUGUCGCCAGGGUGCACAAUCUCAUCCCCUAAAAGGCCUUUCCAGAAUCGUCUAUCAUUGUGCGACUCUUUACGGAAGAGGUCAAACAUUUCAUCCUGGUCAUUCUAGCACCGCCUCGAGGAAAGGCAAGAGAGGACUUUUUGUUUGUGUGUUUUAACCCAAGACGGUCUCCGUCUCCCAUAGUUUGAGGCAGGUGUGGGUGUGAUGGAGGGCUGGGCUGGCCUGAGUGUCACAGGCUACUCAUGGAUCAUUCAAAGAAGGUUGGUAUAAAGAGAGUUUCACAUUCAAGGGAAAUGCUGGUGACACGUGAUUCCCCGUGUACUCCGCCGCCCCUUUGGGCCUCCCUGCCACCGGAUAGGCUGAGUCAGCAAAAGCUCUGGGCUGGGCAAGCAUCUCUCUGCCUUCUUGCCUGAGAGCCACUUUCUGCCUGGGUUGGUUGGUUGGUGGCACUGGCUGCACCUACCCCAGGGGGACAUAGGACACAGUAGUUGGUUCCCAUUUGGCUCCCACCAGAUCAGGAUUCCAGCUGGCCUCAUGACCAGGGGGACAUUGAUCUGUGAGCACAUAUCCAAGGGGCCCUGACCCCAUCGAGUCAAACAAGGCUGCUGAACCAAAGCACCUGGGAGCUGUGUCUGCUUUCUGCCCUCCUGAAGGGGUAUGGCCCCAACCUCCUCCAGAAAACAGGGGUGUUCACACAGGCUUCUGAGAAGGAUGUUCUUUGGAGUAUUUAGGUUCUCCUGUUUGCUUGCUCUGCUACUGGGGCCCUCCGGGUCCAAUACUGGGUGUACAGAAGGCUAGCCUGGCCUCUCUCCCUGCCUCCCUCCCCCUGGAAGGCCAGUCCGGUCAGGCUGGAGGACCGGAGGCAGCAGUGAUUCAGAGCACUUGCACGGUCCUGGGGUGAUGUGCCACCCAGACCUUGCGGGAGGUUUUGAAAUUGACCACAGCCCAGCUUGAAUCAUUCUACCACUUCCCGGCUGGGUGACAAGUGGCCUCAGUUUCUCCACCUGCAAAGUGAAUGAUACCAGGAGCUUGUUCUUGAAAUCCAUCCCUGAGAUACACUUCCAUUUCUUUUUUGGCCACCAGCCUCAUCAACUCACACAGUUGACCACAUCAGCUCCCUACCUGUUCGCUGCAUGGUAUCCAGAGCACUUGUUAAGAAAUUAAAACGGAUUCCCUCUCGUUUCUAAUUUAAAAAAAAUCCAGUCUUUAUGGAGUUCCCUUGUGGUUCAGCAGGUUAAGGAUCUGGCAUUGUCACUGCUGUGGUGCAUGUUCAAUUCCUGGCCCUGGGAACUUCUGCAUGCCAUGGGUGCAGCCAAAAAAAAAAAAAAAAUCCAAUCUUUAAUCAGCUCGUUUUCUGAAACUCGCCAACUCUUCUGUUUUCCAGCAUAUGUGACCACAGUGCCUU
rnacentral:lncRNA from 1 species